rnacentral:rRNA from 1 species
UAAGACGUAGGGUGCAAGCGUUGUCCGGAUUUACUGGGCGUAAAGUGCGCGUAGGCGGCUUGUUAAGUGAGAAGUGAAAUCUCCAGGGCUCAACCCGGAAACUGCUUUUCAUACUGGCGAGCUUGAGGGAUGCAGAGGUAUGUGGAAUUCCUGGUGUAGCGGUGAAAUGCAUAGAUAUCAGGAGGAACACCGAUGGCGAAGGCAGCAUACUGGGCAUCAUCUGACGCUGAGGCGCGAAAGCGUGGGUAGCAAACAGGAUUAGAUACCCUGGUAGUCCACGCCCUAAACGAUGGAUACUAGGCGUAAGAGGUAUCGACCCCUCUUGUGCCGCAGCUAACGCAUUAAGUAUCCCGCCUGGGGACUACGGCCGCAAGGUUG